rnacentral:rRNA from 1 species
UACGAAGGGGGCUACCGUUGUUCGGAUUUACUGGGCGUAAAGCGCGUGUAGGCGGGCCUGUAAGUUGGGGGUGAAAGCCCGGAGCUCAACUCCGGAAUUGCCUUCAAGACUGCAGGCCUGGACCCAUGGAGAGGCAAGUGGAAUUGCGAGUGUAGAGGUGAAAUUCGUCGAUAUUCGCAGGAACACCAGUGGCGAAGGCGACUUGCUGGACAUGUGGUGACGCCGAGACGCGAAAGCGUGGGGAGAAAACAGG